CAAUUAUGCCAUUCUAAGUUUUUACUUGUGUUGCUAUUGUUUCGGAUGUCCUGCAUUGUGGCACAUUGAGUUGAUCUUUUAACUGUCGUUCUGGUGUUCCUGGUCUGCUCAGUUUUGUUUGAUGCUGGUUUUGAAGCAGCAUUUAUGGAGGAUUCCUCUGUCUUUCAAGCGCUUAAUUAGUAUGGUGACUGACUACUCUUGACCUGUCACUUUCUUUCUCUUCGAUCCCCUUCAAAUAUCAGGCUAACAGCAUCGAACUGAUGCCUACCUACUGAAGUUCCAUCCUCGAAACAACCUUUGUCGAAAGAUACUUAUCUACUAAGUCGAUAGUCAGGUAAAGAGUCUCAGGCAGAAGUUCAAACUUGUUAUGAACUUCAACCAGCCAAUCAAUCAGAAUCAACCUCAUCUUUUCAUUAAUGUGGUGCUGCAAUGACAUAUAAUCAAUUACACAGUACUCGUUUUAUGUGAUCCUGUAAAACUUGUAGAUUUCCUCCACAUAUUCAACUACUGCUAACUCAUUAUCAACAUCUGCAACAUCAAUGUUCAUCACCAGCUCUCAAGGCCUAGUUGUAAGUCCACAAGCUGCCUUUCUUCGGGCAGUUAGGAAUGAAGUAAGACUGUAUUUCUUCUUCCUUGAACUUAGUUUUCUUCGGAGGUAUAAGCCUUGUAAUUGAUCCUGCACAGUUUAUUUCUCACCUAUUUUGCAUUCAAAUUUUAGAGGCUUUUUUGUUAGUUUAUGUUGUUUCUAGGCAUGCUUGGAUUUGGAUGUUGAGAUUAAAAUUGGGAAUACUUGAGCUACUGUUAGUGUCUUUUGAUUUCCCUAGUUGCAAGGUGUUUGAAUCUAUUUUGAUCUGAUGUUCUUUAUCUAGCUUGUUUUUCCCCAGGAUUGGACAGAUAGAAUCACAUCCUUUUGCACUACUGAUUUUUCAGAAAUUAGAACAUUGGCUUAGAAGCUCUUUUGCUGGUGAGAUCGGUAAUCUCAGAUCUUGCUUUAUCUAACAUUGGCUUACAGAUCUUGCUUUUUUGCUGGGGAGAUCAGUAAUCUCAG